CAAAUUAGAGCUUGAUUAAAAAGUAUUUCAUUUACAUUGAAAAGAUAUUAAAAUUUAAUUAAUUUGA
rnacentral:tRNA from 1 species